UACGGAGGAUGCGAGCGUUAUCCGGAUUUAUUGGGUUUAAAGGGUGCGUAGGCGGGAUGCCAAGUCAGCGGUAAAAAUGCGGUGCUCAACGCCGUCGAGCCGUUGAAACUGGCGUUCUUGAGUGGGCGAGAAGUAUGCGGAAUGCGUGGUGUAGCGGUGAAAUGCAUAGAUAUCACGCAGAACUCCGAUUGCGAAGGCAGCAUACCGGCGCCCUACUGUCGCUGAGGCACGAAAGCGUGGGUAUCGAACAGG
rnacentral:rRNA from 1 species